rnacentral:rRNA from 1 species
UACGUAGGGUGCGAGCGUUGUCCGGAAUUAUUGGGCGUAAAGGGCUCGUAGGCGGUUUGUCGCGUCGGGAGUGAAAUCCACUGGCUUAACUGGUGGCUUGCUUUCGAUACGGGCAGACUGGAGGUAUGCAGGGGAGAACGGAAUUCCUGGUGUAGCGGUGAAAUGCGCAGAUAUCAGGAGGAACACCGGUGGCGAAGGCGGUUCUCUGGGCAUGUCCUGACGCUGAGGAGCGAAAGCCAGGGGAGCAAACAGG